GCCUUGUCCUCCCCAAGUAGCAAAGACGGACAGGUAAACAGAUUUCGGCACAGUGUGAUGACUGCAACUGAAAGAAGCAUUAUGAGGUUACUUGUAAAUAGGUGACAUUAAGGGCAGCGGGCGCUGGAGGGUGCAGGAAAGGCUUCCUGGGGUUAGGCGCGGCGAAACGGCAAUCGGAAAGACCCAGAGACAUUUGCUCGAGAGCAUUUCCGGUAGAAAGAACGCGCGGUGCCCCUCAUCUGGCUGGCGCCAUUGGAGGUAAACCGAACAGGUAAACUGAACAGUAAGGGCUUGAGAUGGGCUAAACUCUCUGCCCCUGGGGCCACUGGGCUCCCCUGUAGGACUUUAAGGGGUGGGCGGUUUCAGAUGUUUUUAUUUUGGUUUUAUAUUUAUAACUUGCUACAAUAUCUGAAUUUUAAAGAGGUAGAGGGGUGGGUGUUCAGGCUAGCGUAGGAGUGCCUGCUUGGCACUGAUUUCCUGCUUCCUGCUCAUGUAGGUACUAGGAGGCAGUGGUCGUGACUCAGAUGCCUGGGUGUCUGCCACCCACAUAGGAGACCUGGGUUAGUGCUCUUGUGGGCAUCUGGGGAAUGCUCCAGCAGAUGGGAGCUCUGUCAGUCUGUAUUUCUGUUUGCCCUAAAAAUAAAUAAAUAAAUAAAUGUGAUCAGUUACUGGGUCUGUUCUAGUAGCAACAAUUGUGGCUCAUCUUUUGUGUAUUUUUUUAGAGCCUACAAAUAAACAUUUUAUAAGGAUGGUCUAUCAAGAGAUAUUCUACAAGACGGGCAAUGACCUACAGGCUUCUAUUUAUAAAGAAUAGAUUGGAAGGCAGCAAGACAGAAGGCAGAGAAAGGCAGGAAUGUAAGUCCCUAAGGGCCUGGUCUAAGAAUUGUAUCUCCAACAUAUAGCAUAGUGCCUGAUACAUGUUUUAGGGAUGAAUGAAUUAAAUGAGAACACCACAAAAAUACCUUGAAGUGAUGGUAAUGGAGAGAAAGAAACCAAUCUAUACCUAAGUCAGAAUCAAUAAAAUUUAAUAACUGUGCUGGUUAAUUCUGUAUAACAACUAGGCUAAGCAGUGGUACACAUGUUCCCCAGUUUUUGGUCCAACAGUCCAGUUGUGGUUGUGAAUAUAUUUAAAUAUGAUUGACAUUUGAAUCCAUAGAUUUGAGUAAAGCAGAUUAACUUCCAUAAUGUGGAUGGGCCUCAUCCAGCCAGGCCAAAUUAAGACAAGCCUUUCAGGAAGAAGGAAUUCUGCCUCAACUGCGCUAUCAAAUCUUCCUGGGAUCUACAGCUACUUGCCUACCAUGCAGAUUCUGGACCUGGCAAGUUCCCCAGUUGUGCUUUUAGGAUUUGGAACUUGAAACUCCUAGAGCAUGGGAGUUAGUGGGUGAUGAUGGCAUUCUGAAGGGAGGGCCACAAACUACUGCUGAAGUGAUUUUCAAAGAUACUUUACUUCCUCCUGCCUUCUGUGAGGUCUAUUUUUCCAGUUUUUCUUUAAAUAUCUGGAGGUACCCUAGGAUCUUCUCAGUACAUACAUCCUAACACGAUGUGAUUACCGUCAAGUAUUGAGAAGGUAAUGCUGUGCUGCACGGAAGUCUGUGGUUGGCACCUCAUAGGCACUUGUACUUACUAUUGAAUGGAUACAUUUCUGUGCAGAGCUGGGCUUCCCCACCACCACCCCUCCAAGAAAAACCUGCCUAGCAGGUCAUUGUUUGUCUUCAUGAAAGAUAGUCCCAAAACAUUAGCUGGAUUCUGGGUCUUAAAGAGGCAAGUUUAAAAAAAAAAAAAAUUAUUAAUAGAGCCACAGCAUAGUAGCAGUGAUGUGAACUAGGAGAUAGUAAAUUAGUGGCUAAGUAGAUGCCAGAUCCAAUCAACUACCCCAAAGCAGAGUCUCAGGAAAGCAGGGUUAUACAUCUCUGUUUCUGAAGUGAGAUGUUGUUAUUUGUAUUGACUUGGCUGAAGAUGCUUUAAGACAACGUAUCUUUAAAAAAAACAGUAAUAGAAAGAUGGUGAAAUCCAGGCAAGGUAAAGCCAAAACAACAAAGUUUUGACAGUUUCCAGUUAAAAAGGUAAGCUAACCUGUAGACUUUUAGCAGAUAUUUAGAAAUAAAGACAUUCUGUUGAUGUGAUACUAGGCAUUAGCAUUCACUUUUUUUUUUUUUUUAAGGUUUAUUUAUUUGAAAUGCAGAGUUAGAUGGAGAGAGAUUUCAUCCCCUGGUUCACUCCCCAAAUGGCUACAACAGCUAGGGCUGGACCAGGCUGAAGCUAGGAGCCUAGGGGAGUUUCUUUUGGGUCUCCCCAGUGGGUAUAGGGGCCCAAGCACUUGGGCCAUUUUCCAGUGCUUUCCCAGGUGCAAUAGCAGGGAGCUGGAUCGGAAGAAGAGUGGCUGGGACUCGAACUGGCACCCAUGUGGGAUGCCAGUGCUGCAGGCCACAGUUGUAACCUGCUACACCAUAGUGCCGGCCCACAACAUUCACUUUCAGCAGACACCUUUGUUCUACUCUUACCAAGCAGGCAUCUGAUUAUGAUUUACUUUCCUAAGGAAAAAUCUGGCUUAAAAAUUAGUGUGAACCACUUGCCAUAAGACCAUCAGUUCUGAUGCAAUGAACUAGUUUUCUGGACUUACCUAAACUUUGAAAUGUAGCUUCAUUCAUGUAUUUUUUUUUUUAAGAUUCAUUUAUUUAUUUGAAAGAUAGAAAUAGAGAAGGUGAGAGAGUGAGCGAUAUCUUCCAUCUAUUGGUUGACUCCCCAAAUGACCGCAAUGGCUGGGGCUGUGCCAGGCUGAAGCCAGGUGCAAGGAGCUACUUCCGGGUCUCGUGGGUGUAGGGGCCCAAGCACAUGGGCUAUCUCCCACUGCUUUCCCAGGCACAUUAGCAGGGAGCUGGACUGGAAGUGGAGCAGCUGAGACCCGAACCUAUGUAUACAACAUUAAGUAGGUUUUCUUUUUUAAGAUUUAUUUAUUCGAGAGGCAGAGUUACAGACAAGAGAGGGAGAAGCAGAGACACAGAUCUUCAAUCUGCUAGUUCACUUGGCUCACUCCCCAAGCCGCACUGGUCAGAGCUGGGCUGAUCAGAAGCCUGGAGCUUCUUCCCAUUCUCCCACAUGGGUGCAGGGGCCCAAGCACUUGGGCGGUUGUCUACUGCUUCCCAGGCCAUUAGCCGAGAAGUAGCUGGGAUGUCCAUAUGGGAUGCCAGUGCUGCAGGCAGAGGCUUAACCUAUUAUGCCCCAGUGCCAGCCCCUAAAUAGCUGUUCAAAGCAGAAAUUGAUCUCAUUCAUACUGCUGCUUUCAAAUGAGGAAGGGAAUCAAGUGUUCAGAACUGGAACUGUGUGUUAAGGACUUCAUUUAGUCCUUAAAAUAUGUGAGUUACAGAUUUUUAAGAAGAAUUGAUGAAGAAAAAGCUAAUUGAAUGACUUUUUUCCAUUUUAAACCAAAACAAAGGAAACCUCAAGAAUCUUGCAAGAUCCUAAAUGACAUCAUGUUUCCAACUCUAUACAUUUUUUUCAUACUUACUUUUAUAGGGUAACAUAAAAUCUUGAAGUGCUUUUUCAAUCCUGUCUGGCAAAUGGAGAAAACAUGCCUGUUUUAGGGAAUGCCUAAAAUGUGCCUGGUUACUAAACACUCAGAAACCCAGACAGGCCAUACUAUCCUCAGAACCAUAACCAGUCUCUUGACGUCAGACUACCCAUUGUUAGGCCAGCAUCCAAUACAUUAGCCACUUGCUGUCUUGGAGAAAGGGAAUACUUUGUAAGGGGAAUUAUAAAAUUUCUAACUGGUUUCUCAGCCACCCUUUUAUUCUGAGGCCACUUCAGAAAAAUGGCAUUAGAUGUUUAUUUUGGUGCAAAAGUUUUAAAUCUAGGCAUAAAGACUCUUCAUAAGGCUCAUGGAAAAUAAAUGGAAAAAAAAAAGACAAAUUUGGUUCCGGUGCUGUGGCUUACUUGGCUAAUCCUCCUCCUGCGGCACCAGCACCUGGGUUCUAGUCCCGGUUGGGGCACCAGAUUCUGUCCCAAUUGCUCCUCUUCCAGUCCAGCUCUCUGCUGUGGCCUGGGAAGGCAGUGGAGGAUGGCCCAAGUGCUUGGGCCCUGCACUCACAUGGGAGACCAGGAGGAAGCACCUGGCUCCUGGCUUCAGAUUGGCACAGCACGCCGGCAGUAGCAGUCAUUUGGGGGGUGAACCAACGGAAGGAAGAACUUUCUAACUCUGCCUGUCAAAAAAAAAAAAAAAAUUACAAAUUUGGUCAUUUACUGUCCUGCUUGAAUCUUCUCUCCCCAUCAAGACUUGUCUUUCAGCAAAUAUUCCAAGUAUCCCUGCUUCAGUAAUUGUUAUGAGCACUCAAAGCCAUUCUUCAUGGCCCCUUUCCUAAAAAUAAUCGCAUCUGACAGCACUGCUAGAUUAUAAGCUUGAGGGCAGUAUUGCUUUUGCUUCCUUCUUCCAUUCAGAGCCUGGCUUGAUGCCUAACACUGUAAAGUAGUGCUAUUUUUUUAAAAUGCUAUUUUGCUGUCAUUAGGAAGGCUACCCAUAGGACUAGCUAUCUUUAACAAAUAGUCAAACAUCAAACACAAUAAAUAUUAAAGCUUAUUACUUGGUAGCCACUAAAAGCUCCAGUUCAUUUGGUUCUUCCAGUACUCUAGGAAGUUCUUAACUUGGCUAGUCCUUCAGUUGAGCCUGGUACCACUGCUCACCAGGCUUCUUAAGCCAUUCAAUACUCACUCCUCAAUUUCCUCACCACCCAUUUCUUAACAUACUCUUAACAGUCCUCUUCAGGAUCACUUACCAGUCGCCAUUUCUUUAAAUGCAUCCAACUGCCCAUCUGUCUGGGGGGGGGGGGGGGACCUGUCAUCUGCCAUGUGACAGUAUCCUGACCCUGCACUUCACACCCUGCCUCUUGGCUGCAGACAUUGCCCAACCCUGUCUAGUUCUCAUCUUACAAACCCUGCUACAGAGCACUACCUGUUUUAACACUGGCAUUCUGGUAAGUAACUUACAUGUUGCUUUACAGCUUUACUGUUUCAUUUGAUCAGCUAUUUUAACAAAUUAAGAUUCAGAAACUGCUUUGUCUAUUGCCUUUUGACUCUGAACUUUGUGCUACUUUCAUUACCCAUUCUCCCUUGAUAACUAUUCAUCUCAAAUGCAUUUAUUUCUAAGACUGCUGGGAGACUCUUAAACCUGUGUAUCACAUUUCUUUGGAACCUAAGGAAAAGUUAACAAGUAUCAUUACAGAACUAGGGUGUGAACAAAGUGCUAUUUUAUUGUUAAAUGAGCUUGUUAGUCCAUACGCUAAGUAUUAAAUUCUCAUUUUAAGUCACUAUAAUCUGGUUCUUGCCAUUUUCCGUGUACUUUUCAAAACCAACCACUAUUUUUUUUUUUUUUUUUUUUGACAGGCAGAGUGGACAGUGAGAGAGAGAGACAGAGAGAAAGGUCUUCCUUUGCCGUUGGUUCACCCUCCAAUGGCCGGCGCGCUGUGACCGGUGCACCGCACUGAUCCGAUGGCAGGAGCCAGGAGCCAGGUGCUUUUCCUGGUCUCCCAUGGGGUGCAGGGCCCAAGCACCUGGGCCAUCCUCCACUGCACUCCCUGGCCACAGCAGAGAGCUGGCCUGGAAGAGGGGUAACCGGGACAGAAUCCGGCAUCCCGCCCGGGACUAGAACCCGGUGUGCCGGCGCCGCUAGGCAGAGGAUUAGCCGAGUGAGCCGCGGCGCCGGCCCCGACCACUAUUUUUUAUUUUAUUCAAGCUGGCCUCUUAAGUGUGUGUGUUUUUAAGAUUUGAAAAGAGCAACAGAUCCUUCCACUGGUUCACUCCCUUGUGGCCACAGCAGCCACGCUGUGCCAGACUGAAGUCAGGAGCCUGGAACUCAAUGUAGGUCUCCCUAGAAGGUAGUAGGGUGCAGCUACUUUGGCCACCUUCAGCUGUUUUCCCAGGCACGUUAGCAGGGAGCUGGAUUGGAAGUGGAGCAACUAUACUCAAACUGGCUCUGUGACAUGGGAUGCCACACCCUAAGUGGUUGCCCCUCCUCAAGUAUUGUAUUUCACAGCUGCUCACAGUAGUUCAAAAAGAAUGUGUUCAAUUCUAAAAGCAUCACGUUGCGUAACGGUUACUUAGAGGCCCAGAGAGACAUUUUUCUAGAUCUACUUCCUUAUCUAAUAAAAGUACACUUAAAGUUGGAAUUUCCUUUAGUUUUUUUUUCCUUCUAGUUUUAAAAUAGUUUAAAAUCCAAUUAGUAAGCCUAGUUUGUAAUUUUCUAUAUACCUUACAUGUUACAAGAACAUUCUGUUAGCUGAACUGAUUUACGAACUUGAGCAAACUUUGUGUAACAUAACCAUAUAAGACUGCCAAAGCACUAGGAUAUACUAUGUUACAGAGAUGGCUGAAUUCAAGUCUCCCAGAAUAGUUGCAUGGUCACAGCCCUAAACCUCAGCUUAUCUGUUUUCCUUAAUCUGCAGCUCCUUCUGCAUUCCUUUAUAGGUUUGUCCUGAAGAUCACCAUCAACAGGAAAAGUAGUUUGAAAAAAACUGUACUUGUAAACAAAAACACUGUACAAAUUUAAGUUGUUAUAAAUUAUAUUGUUUCUUAUGGCUGAUAAAAUAUCAUCAAAGAAAAGUGCUUCCAUAAAAGUUUUAUUUAUCCCCACAACAACCCUGUGAGGUAGGGUGAUCAGGGCAUUUGAAGAUGAGAAAACUAAAUCUACAUUACUUGUUCACGGCUACACUGCAUAGUAAAUAAGUAAAAAUUAAAUUGAGAUUUUUUUUAAAUGUCCGUGACUUUAUAUUGAUUCUUGUGGAAACAGGCAGAGAAUAUUAACUCCCCCUACCUUAAUGCCAAAAGGACGCUGCCUUGAAAAAUCCCAUUUCAAAAGAUGAAAGUAGUAUUUCAUUGCUUAUUUCUACAAAGAUUUAUAAAAUAAAAAAAUAGUGAAAUAUUUUACAGUUAAUAUAUAUAAUGUUCUCAUUCAGGGACAUGUCCUUUAGCUGUGUUUAAGAUCAACUAUUCCAAGUCCUAGAAAUGCAAACUCUUUAAAAAAAAAAAAGUAUGAAAAACAAAAAUGGUAAUGAGCAGUGGCCUCAAUCUUCUUUAUUAUUCCUCCAUGUAUCUUCAAUAAGUUUUGUGAAAUCUGGUCCCAGUUUAAAUUAAAAAACUCUCUACCAUAAAGAGAAGUCUAGUAAGCUUUUAUUUUGUUGCCUACUUUUAAACCACUGUCAUGUUAUUUGAACAGGGCUUUUGCAAACCUGGCUAUUAGAACACUGGAAAACAAUACAGAACUCUCCGGCUCCAUUUUAGACAUCAUUUCCCAGGGGUAAGCUUCAGGAAUCUUGUUUUAAAAGCUCCUUUGAGUAAUCCUAAUCAAGUCAGGUUUGGGAACAGAUCUUAAAAUACUAACAUCAAACCCAUCAACUAGUAUAAACUUGCUCUCUUAUCUCUUUUUUAAAAAAGAUCUCAAAACAUGUUAUACCCCCAGACCUCUUGCCUCUGGGCAAUUUAAGAUACAGAGAAACAUUUUAUAAAAAUGUAUCCCUGUUAGUGAAACUUGGAUUUCAAUAAUAAUUUAAUUAGCAUUUAAAUAUAAGACACUGAGUUUUGUGGUUCUUUCUUUAAAUGUAUUACACAAGUUCCUAGCAGGCUUUUAAAUCAGGGGAAGACAUGUAAGGUAAUGACAUAAGCAUAUCAGCACUGAAAAAAUAUUAUACUCAUAUAUAGCUCAUGAGAGGAAUAAGAAAGUGAAUGAAUGACAACCUAAGGCCUUUUGGCCCAUACAUUUUUGUUCCCAGUCCACUCUUCCCCUAUAAGGGGAAAUAAAAUAAACAUUCUUUCCUAGUUGCUUGGCAUAGUUAUUCGGUGGGUAACUAUUAUCUAAGUUAAUUUAGAUACACAAGAUUAAAAGUAUAACAAAUAAAUACCUAGGAAGACAACUUAGAAGUCAGAUCAGGAAACCUUAACUAGCUAAUGAUGUAUUAUAUAACACCAUCAUAUUAGUACAAUUAAAUAAAGGCUUCAGUGUCCUUUACAUUUCAGCUUUAUGUGAUUGACACAGACGUAGAAGAGAUCUGGUCCUUAUGAAGAAUUCUGUGCUCGCUGGAAAGAUUUGUAGAAAUAAUGAAAUGCUUUCUUCAUUGAUGAGAUGAAGUCUAUUUUUCAGGCAAGUUGACUGAACAAAACACUGAGAAAUGAACUUCUUUAGGAGGCUGAAUGAAAGUGAAGUGAUAUCUAGCUGAAAAAGGCAUUGGCCAAAUAAUUUCUUAAGAAAGCCACUCUGUUAACCCUCAGAAAACAAAAACAAAAUUAAAAAAAAAAAAAAACACCAGAGAAAUAUAAAAAAACAAUGUACACAUCCAUUUCACUGACAGUUACAAGAAAAUAGCCAUUUAUAGAAGUUACACAAUGCUUUCAACAAAUCCCAAACAAAUUUUUGGGAAACAGAUAAAGCCAUCAGGUAAAUAAAUAUACAUACUAGCUAAUAUAAAACAAUUUAUGGUUAUGAAUUGUCACCAAUUCCCCUCAUAGGACCCAAGGAGAAAUAUGGUGAUAUAAAUCUGAUUAGGGCUACAUAUAUUACAUGAAAUUCAAAAGCAACUUUAUAAAACAUCUUCUCUAAUAAUGAUACAAAUAUUUAAAAGAAUGCUUUAAAAGUCAGACAUUUUAUCACUGGAAAUAGCACAAUUUUAAUAUGUACUUCAGAGCUGUUAUGUGUAUGCAGGUCACAUGAGGUAUCCAUCUCUCCUGCAUUUACCAUAGUCAGUUUUUUGAGUUUGUGUUUCCUGUAUGAGCUGAAGGGACUGGGCAUAUCUCAAUUCAAAAAAUACACACCUCCAGUCAACUAAAUGGAAGUGUUUAACAUCUACCACCACACAAAGAAGGGAUAAUAGGAAGAUAAAACAUUAAAGUAGAAGGAAGCUGGCUAAAUUGUCUCUUUAUUAAUUUAUUUUAACUUUUGUAUUAACAAAUUUAAAAUCCAAAUAAAGUAAUGAAAAUAUAUAUAUAUUAAUUUGCUCUCAAUAAAUUUUUUCAGGCCAUAUAAAAUUCCCUUAAUUUCUUUAUGGAAACUUGUUAUAUGCUUGAUUCAUUUUUUCGGUUGACUUAAAGGAACUCUAGCACGGGACUGAAAACAACCUUACCAUAAUAGAAGAUGAUUAAAUUUUUUUUAAGUUAUUACAUAAAACUGUGCCCACAGGCACAAUGGUACAGGUACUUUUAAUUCCCUUCAAGAUAUGGGAAAGCCCUUUGAGACUAUAUUUACUUAAUAAGGAAAACUUUCAGCAAUUAGGAUGCAUGCUGAAGGUUCAAAUCUUGUAUAGGUUUUGCUGCUUGAGCAUAAAAAUGAAGGGAGCAAGGAGAAAUGUAACUAGGUUCACAAUUUUGAGCAAGAGCAUAUGUAAAGGUAACGUAUGUACAUUUUAUUUCAAGAAAGACAGAAGACAAACAGCAUAAAGAUGCCCAGAUGCCCUAAAGAUAAAUACAUUUCAAAGAUUCUCAUUAAAAUGAAUCCGUAGUACUUUUUCCUGCAAGCAAAAUACCUUUCUUUAAAUUAAAAAAAAAAAAAAAAUCAGUAUUCUGAAUUGCAAAUGCUUUUGCUUUUUUU